AUUUUAAAAAUCAGCAAAAUAAGGGAAAGAAUCAUUACUCAUCCUGCCAUUCCUGCAUGAACUAUCUCCGAGUAACCAAAGAGUCAAUGAACUAAGUUUCCUUUAUGACCGAAUUCAGCUAAAUGAAGGAGGAUGACAGAAUUAGAGUAUCCGCAAUUUGACCCCUAUGGCAAACAGAUCUAGGCAAUGACAUCAAUGGUUGCUAACAGGAGAAAAAGAACCCAGACGUAAACAAACACCUUCGUGUGAAAGUUCACACCACCAUCUAUGAAGAAUUCUCUCCAAAAAUGUGAAUCUGAAUCCAUCAGAAGCCUCCAGAUCUAACCUUCAGAUUACAGGAAACACAGGGAACAGAGGAACAUGAUCAGCUUUUUCAUGAGAAAAUUGUGAGCAAUUCUGAAACACAAGGGGAAACUGAAAGGAAGGAAAAAGGAGGAAACGCAAUGAGGCAGAGGAGUACUGAACAUAAGCAGGGGAUAGCACCUUCAACGGCAUCUCCAACAAUAACUUCAGACUCUACCUUUCAGCUGGAGGGUAAGGGAGGAUCACUAAGCCACACCAUCCAAGAGGAUGGCAUCCAACAAUCAAGGCAAAUUGGAUGUCUCUAUUGUCUCAACUCUCUCUACUGGAUCCAAGAUCCCUGAGGACAGGUACCAUGACUUACACAUUUCCUGUUUCUUUCACAGUGUCAAGCAAGUGCAAAGCAAAGAGUAGC